CCGGCGAGACGACGAGCUUCUUACCAUCACCGCGAUUACCGGCGAUUGCUGCGGUUGCAAGGGGUGCCCUAAAGGCUGGGCAUCCACCGGGCUGCUUUCAGCGGAGUGGUGGUGCGUGGUGCUCACGAAUGAGACGCAGUGUGCCAGUUGUUUCGUGCAACUGUGCCGAUUGAUCUGAGGAGAGACAUUCCUGUCGUGCGCCCACCGGAUUCCUGCCACCGCAACUCGUCUCCUUCGGAACCCCGCCUCGCCGGAAAGAACCGUGUCGUCAUCGUAAGCUGCUUCAACGUGAGCAAGUGGAACAACCAUGGAAAGCGUUGGGAAAGACUCGGCACAAGCAGCUGUUGCGGUAUCUUCAAUUGGCUUCAGCACCAACACCAAGGCCGUACAAGACGCCAUUCGUCCGUGGUCAAGUUCUCAAAGGAUGGCGCCACACACAAGGAACUUUAACGAGAGAACCAGAGAAUUGCUGCAGAGUCCCAGGCAUUCAUGGCGGACGCCUUGGCAGCCGCCGUUGGAAGGGCCUUGGCCCAUAACGUCACCGCCGGAGGGCCUCCGCCCCAGUCCACCCCCAGCCCCAGCCGCCACCCGUCGCCGCCUUCGGGGGACACCGUCUCCAACCUGGAGCUGACGCCCAGCCAACAGUCGCUGGCCUCCCAGCUUGAGUUUCAGCCCUCCGCUUUUGGGAAUUGUCGAGUUUUAGAUACCCCAUGAAUGACAUUAGGUACCUCAUAGUUUAGA
rnacentral:lncRNA from 1 species